rnacentral:misc_RNA from 1 species
UCCUCGUUAACCGAGGCAGUCUCGCGUGAAAAAUCCAACACGCGACGGGGGUUGCGCUCGUUGCGGGACUUAACCCAACAUCUCACGACACGAGCUGACGACGACCAUGCAGCACCUGUCUAGCACCCUCGAAGGCUCCCCCGGUUUCCCGGGGGAUGCAGCUAGAUGUCAAGCCCUGGUAAGGUUCUUCGCUUAGCGUCGAAUUAAACCACACGCUCCACCGCUUGUGCGGGUCCCCGUCAAUUCCUUUGAGUUUUAGCCUUGCGGCCGUACUCCCCAGGCGGGGUGCUUAACGCGUUAGCUUCGACACCCAGGGGGUCUAAGCCCCGGAUGCCUAGCACCCAUCGUUUACGGCGUGGACUAC